CCGGCCUGCCCAGUGGCUUUUUUGCUAAACGGCUGCAGUACUCUGACUGUGCAAAGGUAGCAUAAUCAAUUGUCUAUUAAUUGUAGACUAGUAUCAAUGGUUAGACGACAAAAGUACUGUCUCCUUUCUCUUAACUCGAAUUUAACUUGAGGGUGAAGAGGCCUUCAAAAAAGAGUAGGACGAGAAGACCCUAUUGAGCUUUAGGUGAGAAAGUUAGUAUUUCGUAAGUUUCGACCUUGGGUUGGGGCAACCGUCUGUUUUUAUUUAACACAGAUAAAAUUAGUUUGUAUUGAAUCUUUUUUUGACCCAAGAAAACUUGGUAUUUAGAAAAAGUUACCUUAGGGAUAACAGCGUAAUUUUUCUUAAUAGUCCAUAUUGCCAGAAAAGUUUGCGACCUCGAUGUUGGAUCAAGAUUCCCUGAGGGUGCAGCAGCUUUCGGAGGUUGGUUUGUUCAACCAUAAAAAUCUUACGUGAUCUGAGUUCA
rnacentral:rRNA from 1 species